GCAGUGAGGAAUAUUGGUCAAUGGGCGCAAGCCUGAACCAGCCAUGCCGCGUGAAGGAUGAAGGCCUUAUGGGUUGUAAACUUCUUUUUACGGGAAUAAACUUAGCUAUGUAUAGCUAACUGCA
rnacentral:rRNA from 1 species